AAUCCAGGCCCUACGGGGCGCAGCAGGCGCGAAAACUUUACAAUGCGGGCAACCGUGAUAAGGGAACCUCGAGUGCCUGUAAAUGCAGGCUGUUUAGGUGUUUAAAACGCACCUGGAGAAAGGGCCGGGCAAGACCGGUGCCAGCCGCCGCGGUAAUACCGGCGGCUCGAGUGGUGGCCGCUAUUACUGGGCUUAAAGGGUCCGUAGCUUGAUAACUGGGUCCCUUGAGAAAUCCGCCAGCUCAACUGGCGGGCGUUCAGGGGAAACUUGUUUUCUAGGGACCGGGAGAGGUGAGGGGUACUGCCGGGGUAGGAGUGAAAUCCUGUAAUCCUCGAGGGACCACCUGUGGCGAAGGCGCCUCACCAGAACGGCUUCGACAGUGAGGGACGAAAGCUGGGGGAGCAAACCGGAUUAGAUACCCGGGUAGUCCCAGCCGUAAACUAUGCUCGCUAGGUGUCAGGCAUGGCGCGACCGUGUCUGGUGCCGCAGGGAAGCCGUGAAGCGAGCCACCUGGGAAGUACGGCCGCAAGGCUGAAACUUAAAGGAAUUGGCGGGGGAGCACAACAACGGGUGGAGCCUGCGGUUUAAUUGGACUCAACGCCGGACAACUCACCGGGAACGACAGCAAUAUGUAGCCAGACGAGAUUCAU
rnacentral:rRNA from 1 species